rnacentral:rRNA from 1 species
AAACCAGCACCUCAAGUGGUCAGGAGGAUUAUUGGGCCUAAAGCAUCCGUAGCCUGUUCUGUAAGUUUUCGGUUAAAUCCAUUAGCUCAACUAAUGGGCUGCCGAAAAUACUGUAGAACUAGGGAGUGGGAGAGGUAGACGGUAUUCGGUAGGAAGGGGUAAAAUCCUUUGAUCUAUUGAGGACCACCUGUGGCGAAGGCGGUCUACCAGAACACGUCCGACGGUGAGGGAUGAAAGCUGGGGGAGCAAACCGGAUUAGAAACCCCGGUAGUCC